UGAAAUAGCUCAGUUGGUAGAGCAUGAUACUUUGAAUCUCAGGGUUGUGGGUUCAAGCCCCACAUUGGGCAAAA